rnacentral:tRNA from 3 species
GGCUUUAUAGUCAAUAAUGAUAUUAGACUGCAAUUCUAAAGGAGUAAAUAAUUUACUAAGGCUU